rnacentral:rRNA from 1 species
AGCGAACGCUGGCGGCAGGCCUAACACAUGCAAGUCGAACGGAUCCUUCGGGAUUAGUGGCGGACGGGUGAGUAACACGUGGGAACGUGCCCUUUGGUUCGGAACAACUCAGGGAAACUUGAGCUAAUACCGGAUGUGCCCUUCUGGGGAAAGAUUUAUCGCCAUUGGAGCGGCCCGCGUCUGUUUAGCUAGUUGGUGAGGUAACGGCCCACCAAGGCGACGAUCAGUAGCUGGUCUGAGAGGAUGAGCAGCCACACUGGGACUGAGACACGGCCCAGACUCCUACGGGAGGCAGCAGUGGGGAAUCUUGCGCAAUGGGCGAAAGCCUGACGCAGCCAUGCCGGGUGAAUGAUGAAGGUCUUAGGAUUGUAAAAUUCUUUCGGCGGGGACGAUAAUGACGGUACCCGCAGAAGAAGCACCGGCUAACUUCGUG